UCCAGAUGAACUCCUUUAGCUAAAGCAAACAAUCCUGGCUUGUUGCAAAGGAUGUGUCCCUGAAAGACUCAGUAAGGUUUUGCUGCGGGCAAGGUCUGAAAAAUAAAGCAAAAACUCUCCAUGAGAUUUUAUUAGACAUUCUCCAUAAAAAAGCCCAGAGCCUACUUAUUUUAUAUCAAUUUACGAUGGAAGCGUUGGCCCUUUGGGAGAUUUUGGAAGAGGCUGGAAACACCACUUCUCUCAGAAGUGCUGUUCGUGACCAGGAGACACCGACGUAAAAGG